GGUGAUGUCUCCUUACCACUAUCAAUCGGAGGCACUCGGUCAUGCUGUGGGUUAACAACCUUAGACGCAAGUCGUCGAUAGUGUGGUGUGAGGACGGGUUAGAUGCCC
rnacentral:ncRNA from 1 species